GCCUCUCCUGUCCUCUUCUUUCUCUACUCCACAUGGCCUAGGUCUUACCCGUCUGCUGCUAUCGCAAUGGAGAAAAAGGCAGCUGAUGUAGUAGUUGGUGAAGCAAUGUAUUCGAGUGGUUGCCCUAUCUGGGCUGAGCCGACAGAUCUCGAGAUUCACGAAGACACGACAGGCGCUUCGCUGUCGACGGAGACAUCGCCUACCACUGAAAGCAUAACGUUGAUAAAUCCUAGAAUAAAUCUAGGAAAAUGCGAGCACCUGUGCCAAGUCAGUGACUUGAACCCGGGUGGACAGGUUCUACCACAAGGAAUCCAACCAACUGAUCCAUGGUCAGUUCGCUGUUCGGAUGAGGACCUGAGGAAGGAGAAAUCAAAAAAAGAAAGAAAAUAAAAAAUUAAAAUAGCAAAGCAAGUCUGCUUGCAGGUAGGCCUUCCAAAGUGCUGGGAUCAAAACAAAACACUCAUGGUUGUCAAAUUAUUCGAAAUGUCAAGGGAGACAACCAGCCUUAUUCAGCGACAGCUGCAAAUGUUCCCAGCGAUUCCACGACACCAAUAAAGAAGAAACCACAAGUCCGCCUGCAGUGCAAGCACAGGCGAUAACUACAACACGAGACUACGAAACUUGCAAUGCCUAAUACAUAUGCAUGUUUAUGGUCUCGUUUGGACCCAACAGCUCAGAUUCCUGGAGAGUUGAUCCGGAGGAGGUCGGCAUCAUGGCUCCCAUUGUCUCCUGGAUAAGCUGCAUUGAUGGUUGGCUCCCUGCCGCGCAGUGCGUAGCGAUUUGGUUCAUCUCUGUGGCAUUCAGAGCUCCAUUGAUGGUUGGCUCUUCAGCUUGCAGUUGCAAUGGCAAUGGGUCUGGCAUGGGCAUGAAGCUGUUGUCAGCCAAAGCAUCGCCUGCUGGGGUGGUAGUGAAAUAGUUGACGAUGUUGUCUUGGAUAUGCACUGGAACAUCAGAGCUGCUGGGAAGCUCUGGAAUGGGUAUGGAGGUCAGUGAGGUCAUCUCUAUGAUCCGCUUUAGGGAGUCCUCUCCCAUCUUCACCUGCAACCAGAUUUUAUAACCAUGUUAACUACACAGACA